rnacentral:rRNA from 1 species
UACGUAGGGUGCAAGCGUUGUUCGGAAUUACUGGGCGUAAAGGGCUCGUAGGUGGCCAACUAAGUCGGACGUGAAAUCCCUCGGCUUAACCGGGGAACUGCGUCCGAUACUGGAUGGCUUGAGUUUGGGAGAGGGAUGCGGAAUUCCAGGUGUAGCGGUGAAAUGCGUAGAUAUCUGGAGGAACACCGGUGGCGAAGGCGGCAUCCUGGACCAACACUGACACUGAGGAGCGAAAGCCAGGGGAGCAAACGGG